CAGAGACGUGCAGGGUUCCUGCACGCCGCACAUGAAGAUAAAUCAAUCAGUUGUGUGGGUGCACAAGGUGACACCCACUCCUCUGAAAACGCUUCCACGCUCCGACUUCGCCGCAGUGGAAAAACCUGCCGCCUUGUGAGGAAGCAGCAGCGUGACAGUCGACGGAGGACCAACACACCUCAGAGACACUUCCAGAGAGGGGACAUACGUGAGAGGAAAGAGAACAGAUGCCUGUGCGUCGUCCUCGUGUUUGAGGUUCGUCUUUCCUCGCGGCGAUGCGCGGUCAUUCGGACAUGUGCGCCUUCCAGCGAGGAGCGAGAGGUCUCC